rnacentral:siRNA from 1 species
ACAUAACUUUUUUUUAUUACUGCC